rnacentral:tRNA from 1 species
CUAAAUAGCUUUCUCUAUCAUUCUGCUUUGGGAGCAGGGGGUCGUGGGUUCGAAUCCCGCUACCCCGA